GUGGGUGUAGCUCAGCUGGCAGAGCGCUGGAUUGUGGUUCCAGUGGCCGAGGGUUCGAAUCCCUCCACCCACCCCA
rnacentral:tRNA from 1 species